CACCGAUCCAUCGGCACCAAGCAAGGACGCCGAGCGAGGUGGGUCCCGGGCCGAGGCGACGCUCCAGCGCGAAAUGCCUUGCAGGGAGAACCGCCGCCGUCCCGAAACGUGACCCCUUGUACACCACCGUCUUCCCAGGCCCAAACAUGAGCGACAGCCCCGAAGAAGACAGCGGCGAGCGGCACGGGUUCGACACCCGCUCCAGGUGGAAAGAUGAAUCUACUGUCGUGGAUGCACCCAGCCUGCAGAAGCUUUACG